ACGAUGAAGAGUUUGAUCCUGGCUCAGGAUGAACGCUAGCGGCAGGCUUAACACAUGCAAGUCGAGGGGUAGCAGUAAUUGCUUGCAAUUAGCUGACGACCGGCGCACGGGUGCGUAACGCGUAUAGAACCUACCAUAAACUGGGGAAUACCCUUUGGAAACGAAGAAUAAUACCCCAUAGAGAUAAGGAUCGGCAUCGAUUUUUAUUUAAAGAUUUAUUGGUUUAUGAUGGCUAUGCGUUCUAUUAGUUAGUUGGUAAGGUAAC
rnacentral:rRNA from 1 species